CAUCACGCAUGGAAUUAACAUCAUAAUCGUCAUUACUGUUAUUUCUUUGUGUAUUUAAGUUCACAUUAGCCUACGCUGUUUCUUGUCUUAUCAACGUAUACUGAACAGUAAUGUUGUUGUUUCCUUAGUUGACCCGGCACGGCUGGACCAUUACAGACGCGAGGAGGGGACCUGUGAGGGAAUUACGACACGUGGUCAAGAUGUUGUUGAAGGUAUAACAUGGAAGGACAAAGAAAUAUGUGAAACUGGAAGAGGUCAGCUUCUCAGAUUUUAUCAAUGCAGUGAUGCAGAAGUUUCUCAUACCAGAAGAUAAAGUGCUAAAAGUCGCAGGUGAGCAGGGCAGAUGAGGAUGUCUUUCCAGAACCUGCAACAGAAGCAAUGUGUUUUGUCAUCUCUACUGAUGAUGUUGUCCCACUUGCAGAAUCAUCCGAGAACAUAGCUGACUACUCACACCCAAUAGAGUUUGCAGACUACUCCAACCUGAUGGAAUUUGUGACACUUACACCUUGUGGUAGGCAGGCUUAUAGUAAAUCUUUAUUAUGAAAUACAAAAUGGCUCUCUCAUCUAAUGGGGCAAGUUGUGAUUUACUGCAAGUAAACUAAACCUUGGUGUUCUUUGGUGUCGAGAUCUUUUGGAAUGAAAACAUGCUAGUUCUUGAUCUUCCUUGGCACCCUACUGUAUAUGGCAGUUUUGUGUUUGUUAAUUUAUGAUUGUAUGUGCCCUGUAACCUAAUGUUGUUAUUUGUGGUCCUCAGAUUUUACACUACUGCAGCUAGAUGGCGAAGGGUCUUCCUCCCAAGUCUUUCAGAUACGUUGUCCCUCUCAAGCAGUCUAAGCAGUCCUCAAAGCGAUGCUGGUUCUCAAAUGAUUCAACCGGUCAUAGACAGCACCCGCGCAAAAAAUUUAAUCUUUUAACUUCCAUACUUUGUUCUUGUUGGCCUUUCUUCAAAGCCCAGCUUAAUUAAUGUCUUAAUUUUGUCGUUAAUUGUUGUUUUGUAUUUUAAGUGAAAACAUCCCAAGAAAGAUACUGGUUCUAGAAACGGAUAGAUUAAGACAUUUCAAAUCUUUUGAUGCUCGAAUGUCCUAUGGGUGUGAUUGUAUGUUGUAUGUUGUGUCAGAGGGUUUUAUCUUUUAAUGUAUCAACAUUGCUGACUUAAUAUAAGCUAUAUGGAAUUCACCCUUGUUUUUAUGUACAUGUUUAUGCACUUAAAUUACAGGUUUAAACUCUAC